rnacentral:lncRNA from 1 species
UUAUCAAUCGAAACGAUGAUAAUUCCGUUAGGAGUUCGGUUGGACAGGACUCGCAACUAUCUGAAUCCUUUGAACAGGUUAUAAAAAUCUCGCAAUUGAGGUCGGGUUUGUUUAGGUAUGCCGUGUGACCAUGCCCAACAAAAUCAAACUGAAAAGCAAAAGCAAGAGGUUGCAUGCAAACUACUUAUUGAAUUCCAACUAGCAGAGGCUGAGUUGGACACUUUAGAAGUCAAUGUAAGAGAAGGGAGAGAAGCCUUUUAUAAGGCUGGUGCUCAUCUUCGUUAUAUGGAUUGUAUUCCAGUGGUCAAUCAAGCACUUAGAAGCUAUUGUGAGGUUGAUCGAGGAGUUUGGUUGGAGCGGAUUCCCAGUGUAUCCUCUGAAUCCGAAUCCAUUCCAAGAUGCAAUGACAUUGACAUUGAAUCAAGUCAGAGGCCUUGCACGUCAAAAUGGAAUUCUGGUAUUUUUUCUGUCGAACCCAGCAAUGUUUUCUUAGUUUUUUUUUGUUUCGUAGGAGAACCUUGGAAUCCAUUGUAGCUUUUUGCAGAAGGAAAGCUUUCCUAACUCUAAUCAAACGCACUAACGGCCUUCUAAUUUGAUUUUUUUUUGUUAUGAGCUUUGAAUGUGAGGUGGUAUGAAAAGAGUCAUUCAAUUUGAUUUAGGAAAGCUUUCCUAAAUCUAAUCAAAUGCGCUUCUAAUUCUGUAUCAGAUAUAAUUGUUAACCUGAUAGGAUGACAAGAGUCAUUUAGACGAAAAGGUUGCAUUUGUAUGAAUAAUCUCCCUUUGCAUAACUUUUUCAUCUUAAUAUAUUCAAGGCUUGAAAAGAACCUUCACAUCAAGGGUAAACCCAACUAUUCUAAGUAUCAUGGCUGUAGCAUUCCACAUAGUCGUUACUCUAUGUUGUCACAAUGUUGUGACUAAAUGGUUUCCCAAAAGAAUGUUGGUGAUUCUUAUUCAAUUACAGUUACCUAAGGAAUUAUAUAUGCAUGAUAGUUUUUGAUAGUUCACAACUAAUGAUAUCCUGGCUGUAACAUAUGCAAACUUGUUCACACUAUCAAGCACCCCCAUUUCGAGAUCGCUAACAUGGCAUUGACCUUAACAUUUUCUGUCAAUAUUGAUGCCUGAAAAGAAGAGUAUUAUUCUUUAAAGAGUAUGAUCACAUCAAUGUUUUUGGUUGAAAUCCCUAUGCUCAUUUACAGUAUGGUGAUUGUAAAGCAUUAAAGAUAAAGAAGAGAUACUCUUAAUUGCAUAGUUAUUCUCUUCUAUGCAUUGUUAUGGAAAAUUGCACAAGUUCCAUUAGCAUAAGUUAACGUUUUAGGUCCCAUAAACCUUGUUUAGUCAGGAACUCGUAAAUAUUUGAGAAAAGCAACAUUACCAAGAGCCAACAUGUCAUGUUGGAAUACUGGGAUCGUAUCCCCCAUCCAGUUGGAGGGUAGAUACUUGUUUACAUUCCACAGGCUUUUAAAUGAUUUUAUUAAAGGAUCUGGAUUACAAAAAAGUUGAUAUUCUACGGGUUUUACUCGUCAUUCCAUCCAUGGUUCUAAUUUUUGGACUCACUUCUACUGGAGUGAGACUGUGAGUGGUAUUACAUUACGAUUGAUAGCGUGUUCAUUACAAGAGACUUGUUUUUCCUACUUGGGUUUGCUUAGAGAGAUGCCUGUCUUUGUUUCUUCUUGUGGUUCCUGUGUGAGAUCUAUACCUCCAGUCCACAUGCUUUUAUAUCCCGGCGUCCCGUGGUAAAGACCGCGCGAUGGCUCCUACAAGUCCUGCCCUUGGAUUUGUCUAGACCAAGUUGUGUCAAGGGCGCCGCGGUGUCCCCUAUCCUUCGAGCUAAUACCUACAGUUCCAUACACUCAUCCUACAUGUUUGUAGUGAGAGGGAAGGUGGCGAUUAUUACUCUUAGCUGAGGGAUACAUAGUAUUUUGGGGCAGGUGGUUCGAUACAUUAUUUAAGGGAUAGCUAUUAUUUGUGCCUGUAUGUGCUGAUUGUUGCUGUUGACUUGGAUUGUAAUAAGUUAAUUCUGUUUGAGAUUAGAAAUUAUUUUGGCUUAGGAUUUACUUGGAAAUGUUUUUUUAUGUCUCAGGUGCAAAGCGUCUUGUUAUAGUUGGUCUUGCGGAUGAUGAUCAGUGCAUUGAGGAUGAUUUUGCUGCUUGGUAUGCGGUGUUUUUAGUGAUUUACAGAUUUUGAAUUUAUUCUAAUGAUGUGUGUCAAAAUAUUGUACUCUCAAGAUGGGAAGAUGGGACUCUUACUACUUUGCAAAGCAUGACUUAAGUUAUUUUAUAAAGUUAUCAUCACGAUUCAUCUGUUUUAGGCGAGAAUUGCUAUGGCCCGAGUUAGAUCAAUUACUUUGGGAUGCGAUGUACCAAUCGCAGCCGCCAUUCCUGAAUACCGGGUGGUGAUUCAUGAUCCUACCGCUAUAUCAUACGAUGACAAGUACUCGAGUAUGGCAAAUGGGAAUACUUCAUAUGAUAUUCAUCAUCCAUGCAGGUAUUUAAAUAUCUGCAAUUUGUUUCUCUUUUAUUUUUUUUGCUAAUUGUUCCUUUUUAUUGACCUAAUGUUUUUACUAUUGCCUGACGAAAUUUAAUGUUUGCAGUUCAGAGAGAACUUCACAAAACCAAGUCUGGUCGCUCUUGAAUCCAUCUGGAGUUGCAAGAUAUCAGGCAUGGGUGUUAUGUAAGUUUAUGGAAAGGGUAUUGUUAUUUUCGUUUUUUUUUUUUUUUGUCUUGGGGCGGGGGGUUGUGUUGGGUUUGUUGUUUUUUGUGUGUUGUUUUUCUUUUCUUUUUUUCUUUUUCUUUUGUUUUCCUUUUCUUUGUUUUUUUUUUUUUGUGGUUAUACAUCUUGUCUAAAUUGAGGUAUAAUCUUGAUCUUUAAGUUGAAAGUGAAGUGUGAUAUGCUAAAACAAAUGAUUCUGAUCAUUCCUCUCUUGGAUGUGAUUCGGAGAUUAAUUUUAAAUAUGUCAGAUGGAAUUGAACCUUUUGGGUACAUCGCACGGUAUAUAUCUCAGCAGUGGGUUGUUUUAAGUUUAUGGGCUUGAUUAAAUGUAGUUAUGAUAAUUGGAGUCACGAUCAAUUAAUUAUUUUUAGGAAGAGGACAGCCUUUGCACUUUGCAGUCAACCAACAACAGGAAUGUCAAAAGCUACGAUUACAGGGACUCCUCUUAAUAUAUGUAUAUGCCCAUGUUGGAUACUCAGAUUCUUGACUAAGGGUAUUGGAUAUGCGUCCUACAUGUACAGUUGGACAUUCCCUCGAUAGGAUAUAAAGGGUAACUAUGAACUUGAGUUCACCAAUAUAUGCAUAAAACUCUAAUAUUUCGAAUGAAAUACACUAUUUGUCCUUGUAAAUUCCAUAUUACCCUGUCAUGUAAAAGAAAUAUAUUAAGAAAUGUGAAUAAUUCAUCAUGUCCCCAUGUCCAUGAAUAUGGGAAUUGGAAGAAUCCGGUGCUUAGGUAACCUAUUCUAGAGACCAUGCAACGUAUGGCAAAAAACACUUUUCUUGCUUUCAUUCUAUUAUUCCAUGUGUGCAUAGGUUUUGACCCCCUGGUGAUCUUUCGUUGCAUUUGGCAUGAAAAGAAAAAUAAUUGUUUCUGCCCUCCGCCCUUAAGUGUUUUUUGCGUACCUUGGUUUUGGUAUGAGCAUCCAUCUUAUUGAACUAUCACUUUCCAAGCUACAUUUCUCUAAUGGGACUUUUUUUUCACAUGUUUUUUCGGCAAGUCUCUGGGACUCUGCUGUCAUUUCAUAAUGUCACUUCGAUAAAAUCUUUAGUUUUUUUUUUUUAUCAAAAAGGACAAAAAUAAAGUACAAAAAAAAAAAGCCCCCCCCCCUUUAUAUUGACACUUCAUUCUAUCUUAAACUUACGGACUGCGUGCUUUUAUGUUGACUGGUUGGCUGAUCACUAAGAAAUAGAUUGACACUCAUUCUAUCUUAAACUUACGGAACUGCUUGCUUUAUGUUCACUGGUUGGCUGAUCACUAAGCAAACUUCAUUUAUAGGCUCCAUUGUUUCGGAUAAGGCUACCCUAUUAUUCCUUAAUGCAUUCUUGCCUCUGCUCCCAUAAAUAAUAUUAUUUUUGUCUGACUCCUGCUUUUUCCAUAUUUUAAACUUGAGACCACGUGGCUGUUUAUACUGGAUAAUGGUGAUAACUGUUGAAGCAGCAGCAAAGUUGUUUGUUCAACCUCUGAUUGCUAUUUCUAUCCAUGCUGAUGAGAUGAGGGCUCAUUGCCACCUCCUUUUCCCCGGCCCGUGCACCUUCGCACUCACUUGCACCUUAUGCAGACCCUACUGAGGAAAGCUUAAAUUCUUAUCAUCACCUCAGGGGAAGGUUAGCAGUCUGUUUGCCCUUUCUCAACACCUUUUUUUCUUUUGUUUAUUUUAUUUUUUCCUUCUAAAGAAUCUGAAAGUAAGUUUGCCUGGUGACUAUAUUGGCGGAUCAUCUGGACCUCUGUUCUCUAUCAUCAUCUCUAUUCAACAUUUUAUCCUUCAGUUUUAUGUUUCCAUUCAUGUCUGUAGUUCUGCUUCUUGUCCAGGAUGAUUACUCACAAUGUAUUGGUGCGAGUCAAAGAAGCCCGUCUUGAGGUAAUGGCUGAGUUUCCAUCAGCAAAAACUCCCCUUGGUUAUUUUUUGCUGUAGUUGGCCCCUUGCUUGCAGCCACGUUACUAUUCCUAUCUCGUCCUCUUCCCAGGUUGUUUUCCAUUGCCUUUCUGAAGUUUAACAUGGUUUUUUUCCUAGUUUGUAGAUCUUGCAAAUUUUGAAUUCCUGCUUUUCAGCAGAUUUGGCCUCCAGAUCGGGUUCAUUUAACUAUUGCAUUAUUCUAUGGUCCCUAGUCCCACAGACCGAAUUCACAAAGGGGUGUGGUUCAACUUGGAUGAAGUAUGAGUCCACACCGCCUUAUUUUUUUUCCCCCCCCCCCCCCUUUUUCACUAUCAGCGUAUGUUUUGCUUUUUCGUUGCAAUGCCGCACUAUUCUCUCUCUCUAAUUCUUUUGUCUAUAUUAGCAUCUGACAUCUUCUGAUGUAUCAACCUAUAACAGAAUGCAGUUCCUCUGAAAAAGCCAGGACGUACUCAGCUCCGUAUUUUUUAUCAGGACAGUCCAAUUUUAAGUUACCAGCCAACGCUUCAGUUCCAAUUGUAAUGUGGGACCUGUACAUGCUUGCCCCUUUCAGAUGAUGUCUUCAGGUUCAGAUGGACUCUGUUAUUUGUGGGUUUCAUUUAUUGAUAGUAGAAGCAAUCAACUGAAAGAUGAGUUUUCCAGGAAAGAUUGGCCUGAAGAGAAUGGAGUUUAACUUGGUUUCACUACUGUUCUUUGGAUGUAGAACCGCAGCUUGGUUAAUUUGCUACCAAUGCACUCUUGAGGCAGUAGUCUUUUGUGCUACCUGGAGCUUCUAGUGCAGGUUUUCUUCCACUUGAUUCUUGCUUGUAGGAUUUUUUUAUGGGCGAGACUCAACAAUAUUCUCUGUCAAGGAGGUGUGAUAUCUGAGCUGAUUGUUGCAUUUUCACGGGAGGGGCCACAGCAACAUAAGAUGAAGGAAAAAGUAAGUGAUAGGAAGCCUCAAGCUGGGCUUCAAAUUCAUGAGAUUAAGAAUAUUGCUCCAUUUAGAUAGUCGUGGAUUUCAAAUCAAGGAUUUAGUAUUUAAUUUCAACAAAAAUAUAAGAUAUUUUAGGCAUAAGUGACUUGUUAAAUUAGAGUCCAAGGAGGAUUAGAGUUAGAAGAGACAUAUUUCUUUUAUAAUUACAAUCCUUAGCAUAAAAGAUUUCAAGUCACUCCUAUUAAAUAAUUAUUUCAAAUCCAUUAUGAUAAAGCUCAAACACAAUGUCGAAAUCAUACACAAACUAUCAAACUAUAUUGAAGUUAUUCUCUUCGAUAGUGUUACGUACUAUUGUCAAAUCCCUUAGUGAAAUCCCCAUCUAUUAAAUGGAUCCUAAGAUUCAUUGUUCAUAAUCUUAUUGAUGUGCAGGCAGCAACAAAUUUGGAGAGUUGAUCUCCCAGGCGGGGGAUAUCUGUUACGUCUGUGAUCAAAGGGUAUCGGCGGUGGUGUGUCCACAAUUCUAACUUUGUAUUAGAGCCAAGUCUUGGGUGGUCUUGCUGGCCAAGUCUCUGCCCCAGAUCCUUUCCCUUCCUUUGGAUCAUUUCUCCAUAUAUAUAAAUUAACACCAGAAUUGUAUUUUGCUUCUUUACAUGAAAUUUUAAAUUCGAAUAAAUAUUUAGGAUCCUUUCCCUUCCUUUGGAUCAUUCUCCAUAUAUAUAAUUUAACACCAGAAUUGUAUUUUCCUUCCUUGCAUGACAUUUAUAAUACAUAAUUUAACACCAGAAUUGUAUUUUGCUUCCUUGCAUGACAUUUAUAAUACAUACUAUGCCCCCCUGAGCAUAGGCGGGCAAAACCGAUUAUCAACCAUGGUCUGCCUCUCCUCAAGGAUCUUCGGCGCAUUUGGUAGUCUAAUUAUCUCCAUCCACCUUAUAAGUGAUUGAAAACUAUUACAGUUAAUUCUUGUAAUUGGUCAUAACGGUGGACUCUAGUGCUUUUAAGGUGGCCCGCCUUCUGGUUUCAACCAAUCACAGAAAGAGAGGAAAAUAACAUGUACCAAACUUGUCACGUAAGUGAAAAAAUUUGUAUUGUAUAUGGAAAGGGAGGGUUGAGGAAGUGGAGUGAUUCUAGUUGCAGAUGCGGGGCCAAAGCAUACGGAAGAGGCGCACGAGCUCCCAUGAACAUAUGGAGAUUUGCCUCGUUUAUUUUAGACUUGACCUGAAAACCACCGGUCCGCCUUUUACCAUAAUUUACUUCUUGACUUGCAGGGCCAUCUUGGAGAUGCAUGAUUUGCAAAUCAUGUAAUCAAAGUAGGAAAAUUGGUAACUAACUUCAGUUGUUGGGUCUCAUCUCUCUGUUAUGAUUCUCAUCUUCUCUAAACAGAACUAAAACUACUACCGUCUUUGUGCCCCAAAAAAAAAGGCUCUACCUUAUUUGGUGUUGACUCAGCCUAUCUCCUUCGCGAGAGAAAAGGCGAAUUUUACAAACUCUGUUUUUUGAAUAUGUUUAGAGUGCCCCAUCUUUGUAGUUCUUGUAGGGGCGGAAUAAACCUCAGUGCACGCUGAUACAUGUUUUGGUGUUUUUAAUUCUUGCUUGGGGGUGCAAUUUCAGGAAAAUGUUGAUUCAAUCACGAAGGGAGAGGCCGUUGUGAAGAAACUCAAAUGGAAGGACGGUAUACUAUGGAUGUAUGGUGACACUCUAAGCUUUCACUCGGCAGGCGCACAUCCUGAACAGGCAUUGAGGUGGAUUCCAUUUUUCUAUUGCUUCAGUAUGGGAUCAUUAUUUUAGCCAACUUAUUUUUCUGAAUUCUUUUCCUUUUUAGUGAACUUUGUUUUAUCUUUUAAUCACAAUUUUUUACUUUCUUGGGUCCACUUGACGAGAGGAACCGAAAACUAAAAAAUUCUUGAUCAAAUUUCAAAAGAAUUCUAAUGACAAAAAUAGUUUCAAAUUUUGAUUAAAUUAUUUCAAUUUUUAAGUUUGUCUAGG